rnacentral:lncRNA from 1 species
AAGCAAAAUUAUGUCCCCAAAUGACACUGAGCUCCACAAUCACUGGACAUCGAACUACUGCACACAAGGUUGACACUCCAUGCCAAGCCAUCUAGUCCCUACACACAAGGCAGAAGGACCCUAUGUAUAACUCUUCAGAAAGAAAAGUGAAGGUAGGGCUGCAAAGAGUCAGGGAUUGUGGGGCAGGGAACCAAGAGAGCGGACCAAUACAUCUGAUGGAAUUAAGAGCUAUUCUUUUAUUUUCUUUUGAGACAGGGUCUUCCUCUGUCACCCAAGCUGGAGUGCAGUGGUACAAUCACAGCUCACUGCAACCUCCACCUCCCAGGUUCAAGCCAUCCUCCCCUCCUGCCUCAGCCUCCCGAGUGCCUGGGGCUAUGAGUAGCAUGCACUACCAAGUAGCACACACCACAUCUGGCUAAUUUUUGAAUUUUUUUUUUGGUAGAAACAGGGUUUUGCCAUGUUGCCCAGACUGGUCUUGAACUCCUGGGCUCAAGCAACCUGCCAGCCUUGGCCUCCCAAAGUGCUGGGAUUACAGGCAUGAGCCACGGUGCCUGGUCAGAGCUAUUUCGUAUAAAUGCUCAUCCAGAAAACAGAAUCCUAGUCUGCAGGGGAACACCCAUACCCUCUCAGUCUAGGAAAGAGCCGCUAUGUAAACCUCCUCCCCCAACUGAAAGACGAACAACAUGGUGGGAGUGACCACUUGGAUACCCAGAGGAGGGAGGGAACGGUCAGACGUGUGUGGCUCAUGAGGGAAGAGCAGCUGCUUGAAGCUGAGAGGAAUGGCAAGAUGGUCCAGGAGAGCCAGGGAUGCUGGGUCCAGCAAACACCUGGCAAUCCUAGGACUCAGCAAGAAGCCGCAGCAGGAUGACCAUGACAGUCUUUUCCAGGCUCCCCACCCCUUGUUCUCCUGGGAAGGAGAUGAGGCGGUGGGAUUUAGGCUGGCCCAGAAAGUGAAAGCAGAGACAGGAAGAAAAGAGAGUGGUGAAAUUGUUAUCCACAGUGACCUGGAGACUAGUUGGUGCCACUGACUGAAGACAGAGCCUGAGACCACAGCUGGGCUGGGCUGGUCCUGCUGCUGCUCUGACA